AUUGAACGCUGGCGGCAGGCCUAACACAUGCAAGUCGAGCGGAUGAAGGGAGCUUGCUCCUGGAUUCAGCGGCGGACGGGUGAGUAAUGCCUAGGAAUCUGCCUGGUAGUGGGGGAUAACGUCCGGAAACGGGCGCUAAUACCGCAUACGUCCUGAGGGAGAAAGUGGGGGAUCUUCGGACCUCACGCUAUCAGAUGAGCCUAGGUCGGAUUAGCUAGUUGGUGGGGUAAAGGCCUACCAAGGCGACGAUCCGUAACUGGUCUGAGAGGAUGAUCAGUCACACAGGAACUGAGACACGGUCCAGACUCCUACGGGAGGCAGCAGUGGGGAAUAUUGGACAAAGGGCGAAAGCCUGAUCCAGCCAUGCCGCGUGUGUGAAGAAGGUCUUCGGAUUGUAAAGCACUUUAAGUUGGGAGGAAGGGCAGUAAGUUAAUACCUUGCUGUUUUGACGUUACCAACAGAAUAAGCACCGGCUAACUUCGUG
rnacentral:rRNA from 1 species